GACGAACGUUGGCGGCGUGCUUAAUACAUGCAAGUCAACUGAAGCAGUGGUAGCAAUAUCGCUGUGGAGGUGGCGCACGGGUGAGUAACACGUAGGUAAUCUGCCUUCAGGUCUGGCAUAACUCCGGGAAACCGGGGCUAAUAGCAGAUGAUGCAGCGGCUCGACAUCGAGACAGUUGUUAAAGCUAUGGCGCCUGAAGAUGAGCCUGCGUCUGAUUAGCUAGUUGGCGGGGUAACGGCCCACCAAGGCAACGAUCAGUAGCUGGUCUGAGAGGAUGAUCAGACACACUGGAACUGAGACACGGUCCAGACUCCUACGGGAGGCAGCAGUAAGGAAUAUUGCUCAAUGGGAGAAAUCCUGAAGCAGCAACGCCGCGUGAGGGACGAAGGGCUUUUGCUUGUAAACCUCUGUAGUGAGAGAAAAAAAUCCCAAUCUUUGGGACAUGAUGGUAUCUCAAAAGUAAGCCCCGGCUAACUACGUG
rnacentral:rRNA from 1 species